ACUAAAGCAAGCUCUUCAAGGAGAGUAAAAAUAGUCAAUGAGAGUACAAGAGAAAUACAGGAAUAAACCUUGGGGUAUUUUCCCGAGCAUUAAUGGGUUGACAGUGAAGAUGAAUCACCUAUCUCUAACAUUCUACUAUCAAAACCUGAGAUCAGAAGUUCCAUGUAAAAAUGUAUCAGCUGGCCGCGGUGGCUCACGCCUAUAAUCCCAGCACUUUGGGAAGCUGAGGCAGGCAAAUCACUUGAGGUCAGGAGUUCAAGACCAGCCAGACAUUAUCCUUACACAUAGGUGAAAAAACCGAGUUCAGUGGCGCAAUCUUGGCUUACUGUAACCUCUGCCUCCCAGGUUCAAGCGAUUCUCCUGCUUCAGCCUCCAGAGUAGCUGGGAUUAACCCGCCUCAGCCUCCCAAAGUGCUGAAAUUACAGGCAUGAGCCACCACG
rnacentral:lncRNA from 1 species